rnacentral:ncRNA from 1 species
AUAUGGGAAUGGUGUUCUCCCCUGGGAAACCUAAACCGCUUAUUCAAGCUGAUGACUUCUGCGUU